AGCUAGCUAACGAGUCCCAAAUAGGACGAAAUGCACAUCAUGAUUGGAU
rfam:Trichobilharzia regenti genome assembly, scaffold: TRE_scaffold0001646